GCAUCGCGACUCAUGGCUAUAAACCCAUCUAGAAUCGCUCGAGGGGGUCUGAUUCAGUGCGCAACAGUUGGGACGGAGCUGCGUAAUUCUGUGCCACUUAUAAGCGCACGCUCUAAGUUACAUUGAGAGUCUCAUGUGUUUGCUCUCAGUUUAUGAUUUCUCUUUAAAAUCCGCACAAGUGCGUCACUGACAAAUGAAAACAGAUCACGUAUUUGGAGGCCAGCGACGUGUUUGAUCUCAAGUCAUCAAAUUAACGUAAAUCCUUCUGUCUCAAAGCGAGGGACAUGGGUAAACUUUGCUGUGCGACGCUCUUACCAUUCGUGACAAUUUGUGUCAUUUUUCUUUGGGAAUCUGGAGCCAGUUCUAUAAGAACAACAUUUGGCGUAGACACGUCUGGGGAGGGGUGUCCUGAGAACAAGGUGUUGACGGUGGAGUACCCAUGUGUUAAAACCGGCGGCCAGAAUGGCACCUGUCUCAGGAGGAAAUGCUGUGAAGGUUUCAGGUUUGUGAUGGGCCAGUGCAUACCUGAAAGUGUUGAUGUGUGUGCUGGAUCGCCCUGUGAACAACAGUGCACAGACAAUUUUGGACGGGUCGUCUGCACGUGUUACCCUGGUUACCGCUUUGACCGGGAGCGGCAUCGCAACCACCAGAACCCCUACUGUCUGGACAUAGAUGAGUGCGCCGAAUCCAACGGCAGUGUGUGUGACCACGGGUGUGAGAACAGCGUGGGCAGCUUUCUGUGUGCGUGUCACACUGGCUACAUCCUUGCACUUGACCGGCGCUCCUGUAUCCCAAACCACAACUUGAGCUCCCCAGGGAAGUCAGACACCUUAAUGAGCGCAGGCUCCUGCUCCUUCACCUGCCAGGACUUUGUCACCAUGAGGAACAGCCUACUGCAGCUCAAACUGAGGCUGGCCAGCAGCACUCAGCCACCCAACCAGGGGAUGCUGUCCUAUGGCCUGGCCAACAGCAGUGACAAGCCAUCUCCUGGGAGGGUGGGGAAAGGGCCCGACACCUCCGGGCCCUCCGGUCCCCCUGGCCUUCCAGGGUCGCCUGGGGUCCCAGGACACCCAGGAGCUCCAGGGGAGAAGGGGGAGCGGGGGGAGACGGGGAUGCCAGGGCUACAGGGACCAAGAGGGAACAUGGGGCCAAUGGGCCCCCAGCCUGAUCUGGAGCACAUCAAGAGGGGCCGCAGGGGGCCGGUGGGGCCACCUGGUACAGCCGGAAGAGAUGGACACAAGGGAGAUAGAGGAGCCCCAGGCCCCAGGGGUCCACCUGGUCCCCCCGGCUCCUUCGACUUCCUACUUCUCAUGAUGGCGGACAUUCGCAAUGACAUCAUUGAACUCCAGGAGCAAGUGUUUGGGAAGAGGCGAGGUAUCUCCUUGGACAGCCCACCAAACUCCAGCGGGGAGGCAGACUUUAUGGACCGGGGCUCUGGACAAGGAGAGCUCAGGCUCAAAACCUGACACCUAGGCAACUAGGUCACCUGAGGCAACUGUCAAUCACACAGCCAUGGGGAACCAGUUUUAGCUCCUACGGAGCAUAAGACAAUAAGUGAACUGACUCCUGUUGACUCCAGUGAAGCUUUGUCGCUACACACAACUAUCAACUGUCUCCAUGCCUCAGGACUGUCUGAUGUUUAGAGACCUCAUCUCUGCUUUCCCUUUGUCAGAGACAACAGACUGCAGAGAGAAAGAGAGAAAGGAGCUAAUACAAAAGAGGACAGAAAAAAAGAUACAAAAGAGCAAUACAACCAUGUAUUGAUCAUUAUUAUAUUUGUACAUAGUUCUUUGCAUAUUACUAAGUGUUUUUUUCUCAUGUGUGGAGCAAAGUGUGCCACAGGCCUUGAAAACAACUGCUAUUCAGAAACAGCAUACACAAUGAAAUCACACAUUCCAAAAGUGUAGACAUAUACUUGUAGUGAUUAAAAAAGGGAAAUGGAAUGAAUAAAACACAAAGGUCUGGCCA